GAAUUAAAAAACCAAGAAAAAGCUUCUAACUUAUUUCUUUAACAGUGUAACUCUGUUAUUAAUUCU
rnacentral:tRNA from 1 species